CACAGCUGCUCCACAUCAUCCCCUGAUUACACAGACACCUGCAUUCUAUGUCAUUCUCAAUACUUCCUUCAGUUUAUAAACUCACCAGUGCUUUUUGUUCUUCACUGGAUUCUUGUAUUCUUCCAUCGCUUCGGGGACAUGCUGACCCUAAAACAAAUCCUCCAAAGGAAGUUGUCCAGGGGGAGUCAUGGAGGCAAGCUAAUCAAAUGCCAUCAUUUUGGGAUAAUGAUCACACACUAGAGCUUGAAGGUCUUUGACCUUUGGCUGUGUAGAGGCAGCUGUGCUCCAAGUGCCUUUUUAACCUGUGGAAAACACUUUGUACUACACCUGACUGUAUGAAAGGUGCUACUAAAUAAAGUGUGAGUGAUUGAUUGAUUGA